rnacentral:tRNA from 1 species
GAAAUAGCUCAAUUGGUAGAGCAACUGACUUGUAAUCAGUAGGUUACGGGUUCGAUUCCUGUUUUCGGC